UGCCAGACUCCUACGGGAGGCAGCAGUGGGGAAUAUUGCACAAUGGGGGAAACCCUGAUGCAGCAACGCCGCGUGAGUGAGGAAGUAUUUCGGUAUGUAAAGCUAUAUCAGCAGGGAAUAGAAAAGAAGGUACCUGAAGAAGAAGCCCCGGCUAACUACGUGCCAGCAGCCGCGGUAAUACGUAGGGAGCAAGCGUUAUCCGGAAUUAUUGGGUGUAAAGGGUGCGUAGACGGGAUAACAAGUUAGUUGUGAAACCCCGCGGCUCAACUGAGGAACUGCAACUAAAACUAUUAUUCUUGAGUGCCGGAGAGGAAAGUGGAAUUCCUAGUGUAGCGGUGAAAUGCGUAGAUAUUAGGAAGAACACCGGUGGCGAAGGCGACUUUCUGGACUGUAACUAACGUUGAGGCACGAAAGUGUGGGGAGCAAACAGGAUUAGAUACCCCUGUA
rnacentral:rRNA from 1 species